CAGGUGUACGGGUGGGGUCUUCGGCAUCCUGGGGGCUCCACAUUUCCCAGGAAUUUUCUAGCUCACUAUUUUCAAAUAAGAUAGGGGAAGUUUGGUGAGGUUCAGAGUCUGGGGUUACAGGGGAAGUUUGGUGAGGUUCAGAGUCUGGGGUUACAGGUAUGCAGUUAUUUGAAUCUUCUUGUUGGAUGGAGGUUUCAUGCUCAAGCUCAACAACAAUAGGAUUUGCACCAUGAGA
rnacentral:lncRNA from 1 species